rnacentral:miRNA from 1 species
AAGCAGGAGGUGUCAGAAAAGUUACCAAAGGGAUAACUGACUUGUGGCAGUCAAGCGAUCAUAGCGACGUCGCUUUUUGAUCCUUCGA